CUUGGAUACUCAAGAUUUAUAUUUAAGCAUUUGCUUGGAUUUGUUCCCACCCAAAAUAUUGAUGCUUCAUUGCUUGAAGUUGUAUGCACCUUGAAAGCAUCUCCUACAAAUAUCUUCAUUCCUCCUUUACCAAAAUUUGUCUCUAAUUUUUCUCCACUCUCUUCUAAGUGUAUCAUACCAUCUUUAAAAAAAAAAUUCCUUUGCGUAGCACCUCUGAAAAAUCUCCACACUCCCAUCUUAAAUGAUCUAUGCUAUCACACCACAUGCACCUAUGCACCAUACCUUCUAUUGGUCUUAAAUUUUGUCUUCUUGAUAUUCUUGAUGAUUGACCCAUCUCUUUAAGUUUUGUAAAUUUUAUUUG
rnacentral:lncRNA from 1 species